rnacentral:rRNA from 1 species
AUUGACCGCUGGCGGCCUGCUUAACACAUGCAAGUCGCGCGCGCGGCGCACGGGUGAGUCAUGUCUGUGAACCUGCCUGCUGGAGGGGGCUACCUCCUGGAACCGGUUGCUAAUACCGCAUACCUUCAGCUGUACCCAGAUGGGAUUAGCUAGUAGGUGGGGUAAUGGAUCACCUAGGCGCCGAUCCCUAGCUGGUCUGAGAGGAUAACCAGCCAGACUGGAACGGAGACACGGUCAAGACUCCUACGGGAGGCAGCAGUGGGGAAUAUUGCGCAAUGGGCGCAAGCCUGAUGCAGCAAGGCCGCGUGUGUGAAGAAGGCCUUCGGGUUGUAAAGCACGUUCAGCGAGGAGGCGUUACUCGCAGAAGAAGCACCGGCUAACUCCGGGCCAGCCGCCGCGGUAAUAC